UACGAAGGGGGCUAGCGUUCUUCGGAAUCACUGGGCGUAAAGGGCGCGUAGGCGGCUUUAUAAGUCGGGGGUGAAAGCCUGUGGCUCAACCACAGAAUUGCCUUCGAUACUGUAGAGCUUGAGACCGGAAGAGGUAAGUGGAACUGCGAGUGUAGAGGUGAAAUUCGUAGAUAUUCGCAAGAACACCAGUGGCGAAGGCGGCUUACUGGUCCGGUUCUGACGCUGAGGCGCGAAAGCGUGGGGAGCAAACAGG
rnacentral:rRNA from 1 species